rnacentral:lncRNA from 1 species
UGAGUGCCAAUGAAACAACUCUCUAUCCAAAUAACAAUUUAUAAAAGUAAACCAUUAUAGGUCAAUGUACGGCCUUCAACACGGAGCCUUGGCUCACACCGAACAACAAGCUAUAAAGGUCCCCAAAAUUACUAGUGUAAAACCAUUCAAACGAGAAAACCAACGGUCUAAUCUAUAUAAAAAAAACGAGAAACGAGAAACACGUAUAAAUUACAUAAACAAACGACAACUACUGUACAUCAGAUU